CCAAUAGCGUAUAUUAAAGUUGUUGCAGUUAAAAAGCUCGUAGUUGAAUUUCGGGAUCAAUACGUCGGUCGUGCUUCGGUACGUACUGGCGUCAUUGAUUUCUCCCUUCUGACGAACCAUGAUGUCAUUAACUUGGUGUCAUGGGGAAUCAGGACUGUUACUUUGAAAAAAUUAGAGUGUUUAAAGCAGGCUCACGCUUGAAUACAUUAGCAUGGAAUAAUGAAAUAGGACGUUCGAUCCUAUUUUGUUGGUUUUUAGGAUCAACGUAAUGAUUAAUAGGGAUAGUUGGGGGCAUUAGUAUUCAAUUGUCAGAGGUGAAAUUCUUGGAUUUAUUGAAGACUAACUACUGCGAAAGCAUUUGCCAAGGAUGUUUUCAUUAAUCAAGAACGAAAGUUAGGGGAUCGAAGACGAUCAGAUACCGUCGUAGUCUUAACCAUAAACUAUGCCGACUAGGGAUCGGAUGAUGUUAAUUUUUUAAUGACUCAUUCGGCGCCUUAC
rnacentral:rRNA from 1 species